rnacentral:rRNA from 1 species
AUUGAACGCUGGCGGCAUGCCUUACACAUGCAAGUCGAACGGCAGCACGGGGCAACCUGGUGGCGAGUGGCGAACGGGUGAGGAAUGCAUCGGAACGUACCUUUCAGUGGGGGAUAACGUAGCGAAAGUCACGCUAAUACCGCAUAUUCUGUGAGCAGGAAGGCAGGGGAUCGCAAGACCUUGCGCUGAUUGAGCGGCCGAUGUCAGCUUAGCUAGUUGGUGGGGUAAAGGUUCACCAAGGCGACGAUCUGUAGCGGGCCUGGGAGGAUGAUCCGCCACACUGGAACUGAGACACGGUCCAGACUCCUACGGGAGGCAGCAGUGGGGGAUUUUGGACAAUGGGGGCAACCCUGAUCCAGCCAUGCCGCGUGAGUGAAGAAGGCCUUCGGGUUGUAAAGCUCUUUCGGCCGGGAAGAAAUCGCACGGGCUAAUACCCUGUGUGGAUGACGGUACCGGAAUAAGAAGCACCGGCUAACUACGUGCCAGCAGCCGCAGUAA